UACGUAGGGGGGCGAGCGUUGUCCGGAGUUACUGGGCGUAAAGAGCGCGCAGGCGGUCGUUCAAGUCGCGUGUGAAAGCCCCCGGCUCAACUGGGGAGGGUCACGCGAUACUGAUCGACUCGAAGGCAGGAGAGGGAAGUGGAAUUCCCGGUGUAGUGGUGAAAUGCGUAGAUAUCGGGAGGAACACCAGUGGCGAAGGCGACUUCCUGGCCUGUUCUUGACGCUGAGGCGCGAAA
rnacentral:rRNA from 1 species